rnacentral:lncRNA from 1 species
CGAGUUACUAUUAUUUUUUUCUCCCUUCUGAAGCACUGUGUUUUGUUUUGUUUUAUUUUGUUUUGUUUUAUUUUGUUUUCCACAUGAAGAUAGGAUGAUAAACUGUGGGUGCUACAGGGAGCUGUUAGAAUUGCUGCUCAGCUUGGCCCAGAGUAGAGAAAGCCUUUCUUCAGCCUUCUCUUUGGUGAAAUAAAUAUGCUCUGUUCUUUAAGCUCUACAACACAAAGCUGCAUUUUCCAAUUUUGGAAUUAUUAUUUUCUUCUUCAGUGUAUGCUCACCAGGCGGAUCAUCUGUGUAUCUUACUCAGCCAGUUUCCUGCCGUUGGAUAUCAAUUGUCCACUAGAUAAGACGGCCAGAUGUUCUUGCACAGAAAAUCAAAGAGCAGGCUGUAAAAUGAUAGGAAAUAAUAACAAUAAAAACAAAACAAACAAACAAACCAAAAAAGAAAAACACACAAAAACAAACAAACAACUCUACAACUGAUAUUUCCCCUUUCCUUUGAAAAAAUAUUUCCUCCACAAAUCCUUUUUUUUUUUUUUUUUCCUCUCUGUUUUCCUUGGGGACCCACACUUAUCCAAGCUGCAGUGACCAUAGCUGAAUCCCAUCUGAAUACUGAAAAUCUAAACCUCCAUAUUUAGUUUCAAAUAUUUGUGUUAUUAGCAAGCCACCUUGAAAAGACAACUAUUUGCUGGUAAAGAAUAAGAACACAGAACUGGAGAUCAUUCUUACACUGCCAAGCAUAACAGAGGGAUACUGAGGACAAAGAGAGCUUUGCAAUUUGCUUUAUCGAUCUACUCCUCUCCCUCAAGCCUUUCAAGUCCCUUCAGCUUGUCUUGGAAGCAGCUGGUACAGAUGCUGUGACCCUUACUUAGCAUAAAAUGCUUAUGAAGCAGAAGGUGGUGCGAGGUCUGGGACUGCUGCAAGACAUGGUCAUACAGUGAUUUACUUGUUCCUUUGUGUACAAUAGUACAAUAUUUUUGCUGUUCCCUGGGGAGAGGGAGGCAACUCUUAAUUCACCAGCCCUGUUCUUCUCCUGCCCUCUAUGGACCUUCAGAGUUCCUUAGCAGUAUGUGCACUCAGU